ensembl:lncRNA
AGGCAUGAAACUGAAUUCAUACAAGUCUAAAAGUUUGAGAUCCACUGCUAUAGAGCACUCUUGGUGGUUUCCAUCACAUUGCCAUGUGGUGUCUAAAGUUUUGUACAUUUUAGUGCAUUGCUAUACAGUUGCUAAAUGUUAUUGGUGGUUGCUAGGUGGUUAUUUACUGACCAAAGUUAUUUCAAUACAAGUGUAUUUUAUUUAUUUAAUUAUUUUUGUCUCUAUUUAUCAUCCACCAGGUAAUUGCAUCGAAAAGUACAAGCACUCCUCUGGUCAACAAGCUUCAUAAUUUGUUCAAUCAUCAUUCAGGUCUAGAGCCUAAACAGCAAAGGACAAGAUGUGUUUUAAGAUGUGUUUAAAGAUGAAAUGCUUUAAUUGCUUCUACACUAAACGCAGUGACCGCCACAGCAACAAAAUGACCAACAGCCCCUCCAAGGCAUCAGGAGAGCCCCCUGUACAUACUCCAACCUCACAGCCAAACCUGAGACAUGACCAACAAAGCAAACAAGACCGCAAGGAAACUGCGAAGACAACUGGAUCCAAACGAGGACAGGCUGAAGGUAUCCCAAAGGAAGAUGCUGUUGUGCUUAAAGAGUGGAGUUUUAAGACCAGUGAGUCAUCAAUCACUGGUGGUAAAACAGGUCAAAUGACAGCAAGACCUCAACCAGUCAAUGCAAAAGAGCCAAUCAAGAGCUUUGUGUCUGAAAAGGGGGACAUGAUGGAUACAGAUGAAGAGAGGUCACUGGAUAAACGCAGAGAAAGCAAAGAAAAUAGUACUAAUAGAUUGAAGAGGAAGAACACAAUAACCCAAGAGAAAGACUCAAGGAAAUCAUCAACCACUUCCUCAAAAAAACUAACAUUAAACAGGCCCAGAAGAAAACUUAAAAAGGACCUAAUACCGAACCCUGAGGUCUUCCACAAGAUUGACACACACGCAAUCAAUGCUGGAAGAGAGCUCAGAAUCAAGAAGAUCUUUUCGGUGCAAGCAAUCACCCAGACAAUCACAGAGGGAGCAAGCAGUGAUUUAGACAAACUGCGUGCCAUCUGGAUCUGGCUUUGCCACUACAUUGGUCAGUCUUCCUCUCACACAUACUCAAGCACAAAAAUUAUCUUCAACAUCAGCAAUCAAGGGUUUGUUUCUUUUUUGAGAUUUACUGAUUUAAUUAUGUCCUUUUCCUCUGACCAAUAAAAGCUUGGUGUAUCUCAAGCCAUGAUACUGCAACACUAUUGCAGGAUUCAAUUCAUAUAUAUUGGCAGUGGUGUAGUGGUGCCUGGAGAAGUGGCUAUACUCUUAAUUUAUGCCCCCCAUUUUUUUUUUUUUUUUUUAAGACCCAGCAAAGGAUGAACACCCUGCGUGACAUGUAAAACUGGUCUUGCAUAUUUAGUUCAUUCCAAAAUGGGCCAGAAGUAUUUGCACUCUGUCACUUAACUUCUGCUGCUUGAGAUCAUUAUUAAAAAAAAAAAAAAAACUUAUUAUCCACAGAAUAGGUGCAGAUUUUGGAAUAAAUAAUUAAAUAUAUACA